GAUGAACGCUGGCGGCGUGCUUAACACAUGCAAGUCGAACGGUAAGGCCUUCGGGUACACGAGUGGCGAACGGGUGAGUAACACGUGGGUGAUCUGCCCUGCACUUUGGGAUAAGCCUGGGAAACUGGGUCUAGUACCGAAUAGGAUCAUGGCCUUCAUGGGUUGUGGUGGAAAGCUUUUGCGGUGUGGGAUGGGCCCGCGGCCUAUCAGCUUGUUGGUGGGGUAAUGGCCUACCAAGGCGACGACGGGUAGCCGGCCUGAGAGGGUGUCCGGCCACACUGGGACUGAGAUACGGCCCAGACUCCUACGGGAGGCAGCAGUGGGGAAUAUUGCACAAUGGGCGCAAGCCUGAUGCAGCGACGCCGCGUGAGGGAUGACGGCCUUCGGGUUGUAAACCUCUUUCAGCAGGGACGAAGCGCAAGUGACGGUACCUGUAGAAGAAGGACCGGCCAACUACGUGCCAGCCGCCGCCGUAA
rnacentral:rRNA from 1 species